AGGAUAAACGCUGGCGGCGUGCCUAACACAUGCAAGUCGAACGCGCUUGCUAUCCGCGAGGACGGUGAGCGAGUGGCGGACGGGUGAGGAACACGUGGGUGACCUACCUUUCAGUGAGGGAUACCGGCGAGAAAUUGCCGACAAGACCGCAUACGCUUCUCUUUUCAAGGGGAGAAGGAAAGCUUUUCGCAAGAGAGGCGCUGGGAGAUGGGCCUGCGGCCGAUUAGCUAGCUGGUGGGGUAAUGGCCUACCAGGGCGACGAUCGGUAGCUGGUCUGAGAGGACGAUCAGCCACACUGGGACUGAGACACGGCCCAGACUCCUACGGGAGGCAGCAGUGAGGAAUUUUCCGCAAUGGGCGAAAGCCUGACGGAGCGACGCCGCGUGCACGAGGAAGGUCUUCGGAUCGUAAAGUGCUGUCGAGGGGGACGAUUAUGACGGUACCCCUGGAGGAAGCCCGGCUAACUACGUGCCAGCAGCCGCGGU
rnacentral:rRNA from 1 species